GCGGUUUCUUAAGUCUGAUGUGAAAGCCCCCGGCUCAACCGGGGAGGGUCAUUGGAAACUGGGAAACUUGAGUGCAGAAGAGGAGAGUGGAAUUCCACGUGUAGCGGUGAAAUGCGUAGAGAUGUGGAGGAACACCAGUGGCGAAGGCGACUCUCUGGUCUGUAACUGACGCUGAGGAGCGAAAGCGUGGGGAGCGAACAGGAUUAGAUACCCUGGUAGUCCACGCCGUAAACGAUGAGUGCUAAGUGUUAGGGGGUUUCCGCCCCUUAGUGCUGCAGCUAACGCAUUAAGCACUCCGCCUGGGGAGUACGGUCGCAAGACUGAAACUCAAAGGAAUUGACGGGGGCCCGCACAAGCGGUGGAGCAUGUGGUUUAAUUCGAAGCAACGCGAAGAACCUUACCAGGUCUUGACAUCCUCUGACAACCCUAGAGAUAGGGCUUUCCCUUCGGGGACAGAGUGACAGGUGGUGCAUGGUUGUCGUCAGCUCGUGUCGUGAGAUGUUGGGUUAAGUCCCGCAACGAGCGCAACCCUUGAUCUUAGUUGCCAGCAUUCAGUUGGGCACUUUAAGGUGACUGCCGGUGACAAACCGGAGGAAGGUGGGGAUGACGUCAAAUCAUCAUGCCCCUUAUGACCUGGGCUACACACGUGCUACAAUGGACAGAACAAAGGGCUGCGAGACCGCAAGGUUUAGCCAAUCCCACAAAUCUGUUCUCAGUUCGGA
rnacentral:rRNA from 1 species